CGAGCGGUAAGGCCCUUCGGGGUACACGAGCGGCGAACGGGUGAGUAACACGUGGGUGAUCUGCCUUGCACUUCGGGAUAAGCCUGGGAAACUGGGUCUAAUACCGGAUAUGACCUYKGGAUGCAUGWUYURGGGUGGAAAGAUUUAUCGGUGCGAGAUGGGCCCGCGGCCUAUCAGCUUGUUGGUGAGGUAACGGCUCACCAAGGCGACGACGGGUAGCCGACCUGAGAGGGUGACCGGCCACACUGGGACUGAGACACGGCCCAGACUCCUACGGGAGGCAGCAGUGGGGAAUAUUGCACAAUGGGCGAAAGCCUGAUGCAGCGACGCCGCGUGCGGGAUGACGGCCUUCGGGUUGUAAACCGCUUUUGACAGGGACGAAGCGYAAGUGACUGUACCUGUAGAAUAAGGACCGGCCAACUACGUGCCAGCAGCCGCGGUAAUACGUAGGGUCCGAGCGUUGUCCGGAAUUACUGGGCGUAAAGAGCUUGUAGGCGGUUCGUCGCGUCGUUUGUGAAAACUUGGGGCUCAACCUUAAGCUUGCAGGCGAUACGGGCGGACUAGAGUACUUCAGGGGAGACUGGAAUUCCUGGUGUAGCGGUGAAAUGCGCAGAUAUCAGGAGGAACACCGGUGGCGAAGGCGGGUCUCUGGGAAGUAACUGACGCUGAGAAGCGAAAGCAUGGGUAGCAAACAGGAUUAGAUACCCUGGUAGUCCAUGCCGUAAACGGUGGGUACUAGGUGUGGGGCUCCUUCCACGGACUCCGUGCCGUAGCUAACGCAUUAAGUACCCCGCCUGGGGAGUACGGCCGCAAGGCUAAAACUCAAAGAAAUUGACGGGGGCCCGCACAAGCGGCGGAGCAUGUGGAUUAAUUCGAUGCAACGCGAAGAACCUUACCUGGGUUUGACAUACACCAGAAACACGUAGAGAUACGUGCCCCCUUGUGGUGGUGUACAGGUGGUGCAUGGCUGUCGUCAGCUCGUGUCGUGAGAUGUUGGGUUAAGUCCCGCAACGAGCGCAACCCUUAUCUUAUGUUGCCAGCGCGUAAUGGCGGGGACUCGUGAGAGACUGCCGGGGUCAACUCGGAGGAAGGUGGGGACGACGUCAAGUCAUCAUGCCCCUUAUGUCCAGGGCUUCACACAUGCUACAAUGGCCGGUACAGAGGGCUGCGAUACCGUGAGGUGGAGCGAAUCCCUUAAAGCCGGUCUCAGUUCGGAUCGGGGUCUGCAACUCGACCCCGUGAAGUUGGAGUCGCUAGUAAUCGCAGAUCAGCAACGCUGCGGUGAAUACGUUCCCGGGCCUUGUACACACCGCCCGUCACGUCAUGAAAGUCGGUAACACCCGAAGCCGGUGGCUCUAACCCCUUGUGGGAGGGAGCCGUCGAAGGUGGGAUCGGCGA
rnacentral:rRNA from 1 species